CUGAGUUACUCAGCACCACUAGCAGCUCUCGCUGCUCCCAAGCACAGGUGUGCUCCUGAAGGUGACUCCAUAGAAGCCGUUUCAGACAGAUUGAGUUUGAGAGAGGAAGUGACUCUGAGUCCAGACUGCCCCGCACCACUGUCAGAGGAAAGAACUGAAGUCAAAUGAAGUGACAAUCUCCUGUAGAAUAUUUAACAGAGCGCGAGGCAGAGGAAAAUGGCAAUCUGGGAAUAGACAACUGAGCCCCAAAACAGACACAGACUCCAGUGCCAGAACAGAUGCCAAGUACAGUAGAUCAUAAAAUGGGAAAAUUACCUCUGCCCCGUGGGCUGUGUGUUGACACAGAGGGGGAAAGGGCUCCCCAGCAGCCAGCGUAGCUGGCUCUCUACUCCCGCUCGGAGUGAUGGUUGUCAGGGACCCUGCCAGCUCCGCUUCCUGCUCCUCUCUGUGUUUCCACCGGUGACAGAGCUGCGCUUACUGACUGGUGCACUGAUAGAAACUGAAGCACGCAGGAGAGGUCCAGCAGAUUCAGCAUUCUGUAAUUACACCAACCUUGUUGGCUCAAAGUACCCCUAGAGGAAUCUGUGUAACCUAGCAGCUAUGAGGAACCCAAGGAGCCUCUGAGACAGCAUUGCAUGGAUUCUUCGUCCGUGAACAAUUUGUUUCAUCACACACUAGGACACCCGUUUUGGAGGUACUUGUCAUCACUCUGACUGCAUAAUAUGAAAGGUUGCCAAGAGUUCUUCGCUGCUUUUCAGAUUCACUUGUCAUAAACAAAAUAUGUGAUUAAGUGCCAUUUUCUCUAAAAGGAACUCGAUUUGAUUCUCUACUUGGGAACAAAAAGGGAGAAGUAAAAGAGUAUUAGAUCUUAGUUAUUCCUUGCUUUUUUAAUCCCCAACAUCUAGAAUUAUAUGAGCAUAAUGGGUAUGCAGGUUAAAUUGGGUACUGUCACAUUUUUAAAGGCACUAUUUUAAUUUUUAAAGGAGUAUAAGUGUUUUUCUACAGAAUGCAACAAUGUAAACCAGCUCCGGUAGAUAUAUUAUUAUCCCUAUGGUUCAGCAGAUAAAUUUUUAGUUUUCAUAAUCUGAACAUGUUGCAGUAGGUUGGAUUUUCAAAGAUGGCUGCAACAAUAUCUUCCAUCAACAAUCCCUUCUUAUGAUGUGGUUUUCCCCUUCCUCCCAACAGGAGGUAGAUUCAACCCUCUGCUCUUAAAACUGGGUGGGCUUUUGUGGCUAUUUUGACCAGUAGAUUAGGGCAGAAGCCACUCCUUGUGACUUCUGAGGUUAAGUUAUCCCAGUGAACGCAAUCCAACUAUCCGAAGACGUCCAUGCUGCAAGGAAGCCCAAACGACCAUGUGCAAAGGGCCCACAUGAAAAGGCCUGAAGUUACCUGAAGAGAGAGAGAGAUGCCAAGGCAAUCCCCAGAUGCUCUGCCCCUUCCACCUCUGCUGUCACAGCGCCAGCCGCCAUCUGACCGUAACCACAUGAGAAACUUGGAGCAAGAACUACCCAGCUGAGUCCUGCCAGGAUCUCAGAGCCACAGAAACCAUACAAGAUAAUAAAAUGAUUGUUCUCCUAA